GUGCUGCCCUGGAUACAGCGUAGCCGCAGCGUCUCUGCACACGACCCCCACCCCCACGCCACCUGGAAUCGCGGGGUCACGUGCAGCGCUUGCGCACACGGCCACGCUGAGCUAAAGUGGCGGCCGCUGCGUUUGGCACUAGGAGGUCUGGUCUGAAGGGCCCAGUGCGAGGCCCCUGCUUGCGGCCCCCUGUGAGAAGUCACAGUAAGCGAAACACAAAGGAAAAGAAACAGUCCAGGAUAUGUGGAUUGCAGCCCGGAGUACCAGUCGGCUGGAGUGAUGGCAGGUCUUCAUACUAAACCCAGGCAGAGGACCCUGAGAGUGAAAGAACAAGUGCUUGCUUUUAACCAGAGGAAGUGAUCAAAGCAUAUGAUCUGGAUAAUAUGACCACAAAAGCCCAGGGGAAACCAAGGGGAAGCAAUUGGCAAGCCAAGUGAUGGGUUCUUGCAAAUUUGGUG